GGACACACAAUAGACAUGUGAUACAUGAGCGAUUUAUAUAAUUGUCAAAAAAUAAUUUAAAAAAGGUUAGGAACAUAGUCGGGGCAUGAUUGGGACUAAACAAGAAAAAAUCCAAUAAUCUCACUGAAAUGGGUGGUUGAAGCAUCAAAUAAUGAAGAGAAGUCGACUCACAUAGCACUAAAAUGAAUCAGUUAACAACUAUAGCAUUUCUUGUGAACAUUUAGUACCUCUUUUUUGACAUUUUAGAUAGGCAUCGAAUCAAAUAAAAUAUUUCGAACAAGCAUUUGCCAUAUCGCUUGGAAUGAAAAAUAUCACUUGUCAUAUUACCCGUGUCUGAUUCAAUCACAACUUGUUAAACUUUAUAUGAAAGGAGUAUACCCCACCUCGAUUUUGAAUUAAAAUAUAAUUUACCAAAGUUAACAUUCUACAAUCUUUAGCACUUCACAACUUAAAUUCUUCUCUAUAAAAUUUUUGUAGAAAUAUUUUCUUUACCGUUCUGACCUCAAAGUCAAAUUUAUUGAAAACGCAACUCGACUUAUGAUGACAGAAAUUCAAGUAUCAACUUUGUUCAAUUAAUUUUCUGUCAGAAUAUUUGGCAAGACAGCCAUUGAUGUAUUUUCUUGACAAAAGAACAUGACCUGCAAAUCAAAUGGGACAGAAAUUAGUAUGUUUCCUGUUGGAUUUCUGUCCUCUCCUAGUCAAUCAUAACAGAAUGAAUACAAUAGUACUCAUUCCAGAACAGUACUGGAAUUCACUUAUAGUUUAGGCAUGUUUGUCUAGCAUUAUUUUAAAUCCUCGAACUUAUUUUUAAUCACAUAUUCUCGAAAUAAAAUAUUUUACACCUAAAACUAAAAUUUUUUUUCCCUACCUUUUAACCAAAAUUCACUAUUCUAAAACCCAUUUUCCUGCUUUAAUGGUAGACAAAAACAAGCGCUUAAUAACUUGAAACAGGUAGAAGCCAAACUGUUCACACGUUUCGUGCACAGAACUGGACGCAAAAAUCGAAACAUUUCCCCCCCCCCCCCCCCCCUUCUUGAUCACGUCCCAAUUCAUCGAAAUUUUUAUAUUGGAAUGUGUUCAAUCCAACAGGUCCCCAAUAAAUCAAUGAUUUAGGAGAAUAAACCAAAAGAAAAAGACAUCACCAAUAGGAUUUUGACUGCUACACCUCACUUUUCUUCUAUGUUCACGUAGUAUAAUUAUGAUGAUAAUCUACCUCCAGAGAAAUUUCAACCACUUUUUUGUGGAAAAAUUCUUAUCAUAAUUAGCCCACUUGAUUCGUGUUUAUCUUCUAUCGAUGUUGAUCCAUCAGUGAAGUAGAUCUGGUAUCCAAUCAAGUGCUCGACAAGGGACCGGACACUAUCCCCACCUCGGAGAAUGCUUUCCGAGCUACAGUUUCUCAUUGAAGCGAACUAAGUGACGAAAAAGGAUUCAUAACUUUGAUAUUGAUACAACAAACUAGAGACAUUGUUAAUAAGUUUACCUGCAGAAAUGUUUCAUUGGCAAGCGCGAUAAGGCAAAAGGGAUGCUAAGGUCGAGUGGUCGAGAUGGGGAAGACAGGCACAUGAAAGACUAACUCGUUUAUCGAGCUUCAUUGACAAGCUGUGCAUGAGUUAGUAAUGCACGUGCCCUGCUUCUCCAUCUUGCUCAACUCUCACCUUUCGAAGAGAAUUUCUCGAGGCCUCUCUUACAUUCCUGACAAUGUCAGAGAUGUUCGGUCCGAUCGAAAGCUAGGCGAAGUAAAAGCUGAGGCAAAUCUGAUGCAGUUCUCUCUCAUUUUAUAAUGUG
rnacentral:lncRNA from 1 species